GAUGAACGCUGGCGGCGUGCCUAAUACAUGCAAGUCGAACGAAACUUCUUUAUCACCGAGUGCUUGCACUCACCGAUAAAGAGUUGAGUGGCGAACGGGUGAGUAACACGUGGGCAACCUGCCCAAAAGAGGGGGAUAACACUUGGAAACAGGUGCUAAUACCGCAUAACCAUAGUUACCGCAUGGUAACUAUGUAAAAGGUGGCUAUACUACCGCUUUUGGAUGGGCCCGCGGCGCAUUAGCUAGUUGGUAGGGUAAAGGCUUACCAAGGCAAUGAUGCGUAGCCGAAUUGAGAGGUUGAUCGGCCACAUUGGAACUGAGACACGGCCCAAACGCCUACGGGAGGCAGCAGUAGGGAAUCUUCCACAAUGGGCGAAAGCCUGAUGGAGCAACGCCGCGUGGGUGAAGAAGGUCUUCGGAUCGUAAAACCCUGUUGUUAGAGAAGAAAGUGCGUGAGAGUAACUGUUCACGUUUCGACGGUAUCUAACCAGAAAGCCACUGCUAACUACGUG
rnacentral:rRNA from 1 species